rnacentral:sRNA from 1 species
UGCUUCUUUUUCUACGUCAUUCGCGGACAC